UUUCCGUAGGUGAACCUGCGGAAGGAUCAUUAUUGUAUAACCGAGGUGCGAGGGCUGUCGCUGACCCGAAAGGUCGUGCACGCCCGAGUGCCCUCACACACAUCCAUCUCACCCCUAUGUGCACCACCGCGUGGGUCCCCCUUUGGCUUGUUCGGAGGGGGGCUUACGUUUUCACACAAACUUUGUAUGCAGUGUAGAAUGUAUUUUUUGUUUUUGCGAUCACGCAAUCAAUACAACUUUCAACAACGGAUCUCUUGGCUCUCGCGUCGAUGAAGAACGCGGC
rnacentral:misc_RNA from 1 species